AAAAUCCGGGGGGCUGAGCUGAGGCGUGAUGACGAGGAACCACGGUUCCGAAGUGAUUGAUACCAAGCUUCCAGGAAAAGCCACUAAGCUUCAGUCUAGAGUUGACCGUACCGCAAACCGACACAGGUGGGCAGGAUGAAAAUUCUAAGGCGCUUGAGAGAACUCAGGAGAAGGAACUCGGCAAAUUAACACCGUAACUUCGGGAGAAGGUGUGCCCCGGUAGCGUGUAGAGACUUGCUCUCGAAGCGCGAUGGGGUUGCAGUGAAAUGGUGGCUGCGACUGUUUAAUAAAAACACAGCACUCUGCAAACACGAAAGUGGACGUAUAGGGUGUGACGCCUGCCCGGUGCCGGAAGGUUAAGUGAUGGGGUGCAAGCUCUUGAUCGAAGCCCCGGUAAACGGCGGCCGUAACUAUAACGGUCCUAAGGUAGCGAAAUUCCUUGUCGGGUAAGUUCCGACCCGCACGAAUGGCGUAACGAUGGCCACACUGUCUCCUCCUGGGACUCAGCGAAGUUGAAAUGUUUGUGAAGAUGCAAUCUACCCGCGGCUAGACGGAAAGACCCCAUGAACCUUUACUGUAGCUUUGCAUUGGACUUUGAACCGGUUUGUGUAGGAUAGGUGGGAGACUGUGAAGCCGGGACGCUAGUUUCGGUGGAGUCAACCUUGAAAUACCACCCUGAUUUGUUUGAGGUUCUAACCUUGGUCCGUGAAUCCGGAUCGGGGACCGAGCAUGGUAGGCAGUUUGACUGGGGCGGUCUCCUCCCAAAAGGUAACGGAGGAGUACGAAGGUACGCUUAGGGCGGUCGGACAUCGCCCACAAAGUGCAAUGGCAAAAGCGUGCUUGACUGCGAGACCCACAAGUCGAGCAGGUACGAAAGUAGGUCAUAGUGAUCCGGUGGUUCUGUAUGGAAGGGCCAUCGUUCAACGGAUAAAAGGUACUCUGGGGAUAACAGGCUAAUUCCUCCCAAGAGUUCAUAUCGACGGGGGAGUUUGGCACCUCGAUGUCGGCUCAUCACAUCCUGGGGCUGUAGUCGGUCCCAAGGGUAUGGCUGUUCGCCAUUUAAAGUGGUACGCGAGCUGGGUUUAAAACGUCGUGAGACAGUUUGGUCCCUAUCUGCCGUGGGCGCUGGAAAUUUGAAGGGGGCUGCUCCUAGUACGAGAGGACCGGAGUGGACGAACCUCUGGUGUACCGGUUAUGACGCCAGUCGUAUCGCCGGGUAGCUAAGUUCGGAAGAGAUAAACGCUGAAAGCAUCUAAGCGUGAAACUCGCCUUAAGAUAAGAUUUCCCGGGGUCUUGAACUCCCUGAAGGGUCGUCGAAGACCACGACGUUGAUAGGUCAGGUGUGGAAGCGCAGCAAUGCGUUAAGCUAACUGAUACUAAUUG
rnacentral:rRNA from 1 species